rfam:Eubacterium plexicaudatum ASF492 genomic scaffold acLZb-supercont1.6, whole genome shotgun sequence.
AGCGAAGUAGCUCAGCUGGUAGAGCGUAUGGCCAAAAACCAUAAUGUCAGUGGUUCGACUCCACUCUUUACGC